AGCUUUAGGGCUUUCUUUUUGGUUGGAGUAAUUCCUGCCUUGGCGCCAGUUUUUCUUGUAAUUUUGUCAUCAGAAUUCUUUGAUUCCUGGGCAGUUACUGUUAGUUCUGGCAAGGUAUUCUCAGGUCUCUUUUAUUCUGUGUUCUCACUCCAAUUUUUUCAUUUAGCAUAUCUAUUUCUAGAUUGGGUGUAUCUAGAUGGUCUAUUGAUUAG
rnacentral:misc_RNA from 1 species